rnacentral:lncRNA from 1 species
UAAGUACCAUUCUCUAUCACCUCAGAGUUCUCAUAACUCUCUUGUUCUGAAAAACAACAUAAGUGCAGUUGAGUACGUAUAAAAUACGUACUCCGCAAGUCGCCGGGAUAAGUGGAUGCAAGAGUCUUUAAAGAGGAAUAACUUUACCGGCCACGGCUACAACCACCGAGCCAUUAGCUCAAAAUACUUUGUAGGUAAAAAUAUUUUCCCUUAACCCUUUUUGUUGAAAACCAAAUUUUAUUUAUAAAAUCUACUGGCGACAGAGCGACGUGGGAUCUUACAUCCUCUGUUAGAGGAAAACCCACACGACGCACUUCCAAACCCGGAAACUGGGAGUGAUAUCACAUUUACUCUGAUCAGAGGUGUACUGAUUUACCCAUAGCAUCACUUGGUCCAAGUCGUCCAUGCGCUACUCGUGCACAUGACUAGACCAAGGAACCAGAACCUUUAACCAGCCCGUACACUACCUCUGCUUUUCCACCUUGCCUUACUAAAGGCCCGUAGGUCGAGACACCUGACCGGCGGUCCCGCCCUAGGGUGACUGUACCUACCCGGCUACAGCCACCUUCUCACCCAUGCAGAGGCAGCUACUUGGCAUGGGUAGUUGGUUCAGCCCGUCCCAUUCCAGGUCUAUGGUCAGUAUGGUUUGCGCCGCUUUUGAAGUAAGCGCCAGUUGGUUGUGUCCUAAUGUGAUACCCUAUGUAGAGGAGCCCGCCAUCCAAGCCGACCAUCCCUGGGUUGCUUUCACCAACAUGAGCUCCCCUACCCCAUGAAAUAUUUAUUUAUAUUGUAACCCUACCCGGGUCACAACUACUUAAUACAGAUGCUUCACCUGAUCUGGUCCAAUUGCCAAAUCAGUGGAUCCACCUGAUCCAAAUUUCAUUUUAUUUAUGAAAAAUAUUUAUUUUAAAAUCUUAUGCAAAAUUUUGGAAAUGACCCAUAGCCCAGAAAACAUUUAUCAAGACAUGGUCAAGGAGAUGACGACUUGCCGGAUAGUGCUUCGACCAACUCGGAACCACCGGGCGUGGCUCCUACGGAUCCGAGAUCAGCUCCUGAUAAUUAUUUCACAACCAUGUUUAUAUUUCCUAAUUUAAAAUCUAAAGAUCCAGCAACACGGCCAUGUUGGGCAAGCCAUAAUUAAUUAACUAGGUUGUGAUACGUCCUAGUGUUUCAUUGAGAGAUAAAAUGCAUCAAACCAUCCAAAUCAGAGUAGCAUGCACGUAUGCCAUCCAGUCUAGAGAGUAAAAAAAUGAUAAGUAAAAAGGAAACAGUAGCCUGCACUACUAGUACUUUACUCGUUGAACCCAGCUCGUUCCUCUCCUCGUCUUCUCUGCUAUCCCAAGAACAGAACCAGCCACCCACCUCUCUCUCUCUCCCCAAGAACAGAGCAUGGCCGCCGCCGCCUCGAUCUGCCCCGUCCGGGCAUCUCCGGCGACACGGUGGACACCUACAGAUUCUCCUCGUCUCCCUCUAUCAUUUCCCCCUAUUUCUUUUAUCCGCCGCCGCCAAAAACGUCGCCACCACUCAAUCCUAGCGCCGCCUGAUUCAGGUCCGGUGGGCUUGCCUCCGGCUGCAGCGGCAACGAUGUCUCCAUGCCUACAUCCUCCCCCAGCGCAGCCACACACACGAGGCGUGCAGCCACGGGCGUCGGGCGUGUGCGGCUUCACCGGCGUUGCUCGGUCGCAUGGCUCUGCUGCUAAUGGUGUGGACUAGCCACAUCAUAUUGCUACUACUGGUAAGUACUAAUUCUGAUUCCUUCUGCAUAAGUGUUCCAAAUUUCACAUCGAGUGCCUGCUAGAUGUCAACGUGGGUGUGCAUAUAGUGUUCAUUUUAUCUCAGGCCCUACUAUUGCCCACUCAGCCGUAUUGCCUUCUUUCUCUUUGUUUAUCUCAAGGCCAUGAGAUUAAUCAAGAUUUAAUCUAUGGCGUGGUCAUGGUAUUGCUACUGAUUAGAUCUAAAUGAUGUUCCUAACUAGUGCUACUCAUCCUUGAACACCAUAUAGAAGCAAAUAGUGGCAGUGAAACUCCAAAAUUAAUUACUUGUGAGUAGAUUAUAAACAUCAAUCACUCAAUUUUUGCUACAUAUUGGCAGGGAUUAAUAAUUAGAACAAGGUAGUAUACACAGGAAGAUUGAUCUUUUGGAUACACACAUACAUGUCUUAGCAAGUUACUAGUACUUAGGAUUUGAUUCUUGGCAUGUUAGAUCUAGUACAAGCCAUAGAUGUCAUUCACAGAAACUUUUACAAGCUUUUGCAAUUGAUCUAAUUAGUUUUGAUUAACUUGGGUGUUUACGCAAACAUUUUGUUCUUUUUACAGCAAGAUAAAUAGAUCAAGGUGAAUAGAUGCUCAUGGACUGAUUCAAACCGAGGUGAAGAUAGACAAGACGUCAAGCAAGAAGGGCUAACACAACAAGGUACUUGAUUAGUACCUGAUGGCGCAUGCGACCCAAAGGGCUUCACCGCAGUGAAGGACAACAGUGUGGCAGAAGGUGAAAAGGCAAGUGGUGGUGGUACUCCAUUGUAUAUGUGUGUGUGAGGUGGAAUGGACCACAGUGAAAGGAAUGGCUCCUAUUUAUAGUGGGCUUAGUAGCUAUGUCGGUUUGGAGAGGCAUUACAUCUGGCAUGCAUGCGUGGUUAGGCUUGCAUGCAUGCCUCCACUUGUGUCUCUUGUAGGCUGUACUAGGGACAAGUGUAAUUUGCUUGACUGGCCAUUAGUUGGCAUUUACUUUAUGUGAAAAAAAAAUGAGACCAAGAUCUGAUUAUAAAUUUGUAGAAUACAUGGAGGUUUGGAAAAUAUUUUGUUGUGCAUCGUCAAAUGCUAUUUGCUAUAAUAAAAAUUAAAUGUCAGGUGUUUCCAUUAUUUUUAAUUAAUGUUUGGGCAACGCGGUUGAAAUUAUUUUUAUCUAAUUUUGACGGUUCUUACAUCCUAUCCCCCUUAGAGAAAAUUUCUUCCUCGAAAUUUGUUAAGUCGCACCUCGAAAAGGUUAGUGUUGAGGAUAUAGACCUUAGAGUCACCCGCCAGGAGGGGCCGGGUUACUCGUAUGGUCGUUGCCAGAAGACCGGAGCCAAGCUUGAAGACGAUGGGCCAGAGAUGGGCUAAGACCCGGAUACGGCUUAAGGCCCAUAGUUAUAAUCAUUAUUAUGGUAGAACUUGUAGUGUAAGGCAAGUAUGAUUGAGAGUCCGAGCCGGAAACUCUUAUGAGCCGGCCGGGACUCUAAGGGCUGCUGGGCGUCAGCCUCCCUAUAUAAGGGGACGACCCGGCAGCGUUUUAGGGACAAGAACAAUCUCAUCGAGAGCCGGGCAUAGCAGUUUAGCUCCCUGGUGAUCGUAACCCUAAUCAAUACCACCUCAAACUGGACGUAGGCUUUUACCUUCACCGUAAGGGGCCGAACCAGUAUAAACCCUCGUGUUCCUUGUCCCGCAUUAACCCCUUCAAGCUUCCUAGUUGCGAUGGCUCCACGACUAAGUCCUAGCUCGAGGACAUCUGCCGUGACAAUUCCACGACAGUUGGCGCCCACCGUGGGGCCAGCGCACGGUGGAUUUGAGUUCUUGAAGGGCAGCUUCGAAGGGCUCAAGGGAUACGCUGUGGGCCGGAUGACCAAGAGUCGUCGCGGCAAGCUCUACAUCGACGAUGCAAACUGGGGCCCCGACGCCGGCUCAAUUGAGUACGGGUACCGGGUCCCCUUCGGCGGAAUUCACGUUUUCAUUGGCAAGAUUGGUGAGCCGAGCCCGGAGCCGGGUCUCUGCGCUGAUCUCAUCGAGACGGCUCAGCUUGCGCGACCCGCCCGGGCCCGGCCUGCCUGAAGGCAUGCUUUUGUGGGGUGUAUCCAUGGAGGACUCUCCGAUCGAUCUAGAUCUGGUGAUGAGACGGCCGCCGGCUCUGACGGCGAGUCGGCCACCGAUGAGUCAAACUCGUUGUACCAACUUCAAGAUGGCAGGCUCAUGGGUUGUUCCGAUGGUGACAGUAUUCCGGACCUAUUUGAGCCGCCAAGUCAGGUUGGAGUUUUUAUGGCUGGUGCGCAGCCUGUUCAGAACCCCGCUGCUGGAGCGGGAAACCCAGUGCCUUCUCCGGCUCAGGUGCUAAUGGAUCUCACGGACAAGAUGACGGCCCUGUUAACCACCACGGUUGACCCGGCGGAUCAAGCUCGGCACGAUGCGGAGGUGGCACAGUUAAAAUUGGAUCUAGUGAAGGCUAAAGAGGAUCUUGCAGCGGAAGGGAUCAGGCUGGCUGCAGAGAGGGCGGCUCUCGAUGCCCAAACUCAGCUGAUCCAGGCGCAGUCCUUCCAACUCACGAUGGAUCAAAACGCGGCCAAUGAGGUCCUGAGAAGGAGGCAUCAAAAGGCCCAAUCUCGACUCCCUCCGGUUUACGAUCCACGCAACCUCUUCAACACGCCAGGUGCAGGGUCUAGUAACCCGCCGGGGGUCAUAGCGCCCGGGUCUGGACCCCUUAUUCAGCCACGAGUGAUGGGGCCUCCCCAGGUGCCCCCUGCCCCGCCUCAGUAUGUGCCAAUACCCCCGGGUCAUUAUAAUAACCCGCUGGAGAACAUGGUCGCUGCGGCAGCACGGCUGGCGGCUCUACCAGUUGACGGCGACUCUCCGACGGCUAUUGAGACCCGCCGGGUCAGGGAACUCCUUCAGACAGCACUGGCGCAGCAAGAGCCAUACUCCUACAGCCGGGACAGGAUCCACUCGACCCCUCGUCCAGGCCAGAGCCCGAGUUACAGCCGGCACAUGGUCUCAGCAACCGGCUCAAGUAACGUCCGACGCCAUGACCCGCCCCCUGGCCAUGGCCCGGCUCAUAGUGGAGCCUUUUACGCAGCAGACCAAGCGCGGCAAGAGGUGGAGCAAGUACCUCAGUUGACGGCUUACCAGAGCCCCCCCCCGGCUUAUCCGAGGACUUCCAUUGAUGUGGGUAUCCCUACCAGGACCGGGGGUGUCCCUUGUUUAGUGCCAGCUAUCCGUAAUGAACGUCUACCUAAGGAAUUCAAGGGCCCUAGGAAGGUGCCUAACUACACAGCUGACUUACAACCCGCAGCCUGGAUCGAGAGUUAUGAGAUGGCUAUGGAGCUACUGGAGGUCAGUGAGGCGGCCAUGGCCAAGUAUUUCACCAUGAUGUUAGAUGGGACUGCCCAUACUUGGUUGAAAGGGCUACCACCGAAUUCCAUUGGGUCUUGGGCUGAGCUGAAAGCCCGGUUCAUCCAAAACUUCAAAGAUACCUGUAGGCAGUCUAUGUCAAUUGUGGAUUUGACUAACUGUAAGCAGCAGGAGGGUGAGUCCACGACACAUUGGGUUCGCCGGGUUAAGGAGAUCAUACACUCGUCAGACAAGAUGGAUGCCGGCUCAGCGGUUUUAAUGCUGGAGCAAAAUUGUCGUUUUGUGCCCCUGAAGAUGAAACUCGGGCGGCUUAAGCGCGACUGCAGUGAUAUGGGUACACUAAUGGCAGCUCUUGUCAAGUACGCCGAUUCUGAUGGUACCAAGGAUCCCCCUUCAGAUGAUGAAAGGACAGGGAAGGGAAAGAAGAACGGCAAUGGCAAGGGUCCUCAGUUUAAGCCGGGGAACCAAGGAGGAGGCAAGCGCAAGGCAGAUGGCAGCCUAGAAUUUGUGGCCAACGCCAGCGCACAAGGCAACAACCAGCGACGCAAGGGGAGGCCCCCUCCCCGAGGCGGCGGGUCAGGACCUUCACUGGAGCAGCUGUUGAAUGAGCCUUGUCCGAGGCACGGCUCUAGAGAGAAGCCAGCGACUCAUCUGUGGAAGGAUUGUGCAAUCAUGAAGGCCUUUAAAAACUACAAUGGCCCGGGCGGUGGCUCAGGUGCCGGCGGCUCAGGCGCCGGCGGUUUUCAUGGCCCGGGGGGCGGCUCAAAUUCUGGUCCUCAGAACGGUGAAGGGGGCUUUAAUCAACAGUCUGGCCAGGGUCAUCAACAGCACCAGGGGGGUUAUCAGACCAAUCCAAAGCAGCUCAGCGGUGGACAGUAUCAUGUGUUUACCACUAGUUUGUGCAAGCGGGAUCAGAAGCUUCACAAGAGGGCUGUGAAUGCUGUUGAGCCGGCAGUCCAACGCUACUUACGGUGGUCUGAACAGCCUAUAGUGUGGAGUAGGGAGGAUCACCCUCCCCGGGUGGAUAACCCGGGCCACUUGGCCUUAGUGGUGGCUCCUCAAGUGGGAGGAUAUAAGUUCACAAAGGUGCUCAUGGAUGAAGGCAGCAGCAUCAACAUCCUCUAUUAUGAGACUUUUCGCCGUAUGGGGUUGUUGGAUAAGAACCUCAGCCAGUCAAACACUAUCUUCCAUGGUGUGGUACCUGGUAAGUCGGCUUAUCCAGUCGGCAAGAUCGAAUUGGAAGUGGCUUUUGGUGAUGAGAACAACUACAGGGUGGAGAAAUUGACCUUUGAGGUGGUCAAGAUAAGAAGUCCAUACCAUGCUAUAUUUGGACGGCCGGCUUACGCCAAAUUCAUGGCACGGCCGUGUUAUGUGUACUUACAGCUCAAGAUGCCGGGUCACAUUGGGACCAUUACGGUUCACGGCAGCCGGAAAGUGGCUCUGGAGUGUGAGGAAGGCGAUGCGGCUUAUGCAGAAUCUGUUUGUGCUACAGAAGAGUGGAAGUUUUAUAAGGACAAUGUUGACCCAACAGAUAUGACCUCUCUGAAGAAGCCGACCACGGAGAAUGAGCCGGCGAUGAAAUUUAAGUCGGCUGAUGAAACAAAGCUUGUUGAUUUUGUUCCAGGAGAUUCAUCUCAGCAGUUUAGCAUCAGUGCCAACCUGGAUCCAAAAUAGGAAAGCGCGCUCAUCGAGUUCAUCCGUGAGAAUAGGGACAUCUUCGCAUGGAAACCCUCUGACAUGCCAGGUGUACCUAGAGAACUCGCUGAGCAUACUCUCAAUGUUGAUCCUAAAUUUAAGCCGGUCAGACAGUUCCUUCGGCGGUUUAAUGAAGAGAGGCGGAAAGCUAUUGGUGAAGAGGUGGCCCGGCUCUUGGCGGCCGGGUUUAUCGUUGAAGUCUUUCACCCAGAGUGGUUGGCUAACCCGAUGCUCGUACUCAAGAAGAACGGCACCUGGCGGAUGUGUGUGGACUACACGGACUUGAACAAGGCGUGUCCGGCUGAUCCUUUUGCCCUCCCCCGUAUUGAUCAAAUCAUUGAUGCUACGGCAGGUUGUGCACUUUUAAGUUUCUUGGAUGCUUAUUCCGGUUAUCAUCAGAUUAAGAUGGCAGUUAAGGACCAGGAGAAGACGGCGUUCAUCACUCCCUUCGGAGCCUUCUGCUAUGUGUCUAUGCCCUUUGGACUCAAGUGUGCACAGGCGACUUACCAGCGUUGUGUACAGAACUGUCUUCAUAAACAGAUUGGGCGUAAUGUUCACACUUACGUGGACGAUAUUGUGGUUAAAUCCAUAAAAGAGGAAACCCUGAUAGAUGAUUUAAGGGAAACCUUUGAUAAUCUCCGGGUCUAUAAGAUGAUGCUUAACCCGGCCAAGUGUGUUUUUGGUGUUCCUGCAGGCAAAAUCUUGGGCUUCUUGGUUUCUGACAGAGGCAUUGAGGCUAACCCGGAGAAGAUCAAGGCCAUCACCUCCCUGGCUAAGCCGGCGUGUAUAAAUGACGUUCAGCGCUUGGCGGGUCGCAUCGCUGCUUUAAGCCGGUUUAUAAGCCGUUUGGGUGAGAAGGCCAUGCCCCUAUAUCAGUUGAUAAAGAAAACUGAUAACUUCGUCUGGAAUGAUGCAGCUAAUACCGCUUUUGAGGAUUUGAAGAAGCAGCUGGCAGAGCCCCCAGUCCUUGCUGCUCCGGUUGACAAGGAGCCCUUACUACUAUACGUGGCGGCAAACGCACGAGCCGUCAGUGUGGCUAUUGUGGUGGAGCGCAAGGAGGAGGGUAAGGAGCAUCCGGUUCAGCGGCCGGUUUAUUAUGUCAGCGAAGUGCUCAUUGAGUCCAAGCAGCGGUACCCGCAUUGGCAGAAGCUGGUGUAUGGUGUGUUCAUGGCGAGCCGGAAAUUUAAGCAUUAUUUUCAGGGUCAUCCCAUCACUGUGGUCAGUUCUGCCCCUCUUGGUGAUAUCAUUCAAAACUGAGAGGCCACAGGGAGAAUUGCUAAGUGGGCUAUAGAACUUGGACCUCAUGGUCUCAAAUAUGACCCACGCACUGCUGUAAGUCUCAGGCCUUGGUGGAUUUCAUCAAUGAUUGGACAGAGUCACAAGUGCCCGAGCAAAAGCCGGAUAACACAUAUUGGACUAUUCACUUCGAUGGGUCCAGGCAGUUGGAGGGCUCGGGGGCUGGUGCUGUACUGGCUUCCCCUAAAGGCGACAAGUUCCAUUAUGUGCUACAGUUGAUGUUUCCUUGCACUAACAAUGCGGCUGAGUACGAGGCCUUGCUCCACGGUCUUCGGAUGGCUAAGGAGAUGAGCUUGAGCCGGGUAAGGUGCUUUGGUGACUCAGACUUGGUGGCUCAACAAGUAUCAGGCAAGUGGGAUUCCAAAGAUCCUCUCAUGGCGGCUUAUCGCCGCGAGGUUGAUGCAAUUGCUGGGCACUUUCAGGGCUACCAAGUAGAGCACAUUGAUCGCAGGAAGAACGAGGCGGCUGAUGCUCUAAGCCGGCUAGGCUCUCAGCGAAAGCCGGUCCGCCUAACACUUUCCUGGACGUCCUGUAUAACCCUUCGGUUAAGUUGCCUACAGAGGAAGACUUGGCUGUCCCUGACCCGGAGGCACGAUUGGUGGCGGCUCUUCAUGUCAUACCAGACUGGACGAUGCCAUAUCUGGCUUAUAUGACCCGGGGCGAGUUGCCUGAGGAUGAAACUUUGGCCAGGCAAAUAACCCGGCGGGCUAAGUCAAUGAUCGUUAUCGAUGGCGAAUUGCAUCAUCGCAGUGUCACGGGAGCAUUUCAGCAUUGUGUCUCCCCUGAGGAGGGUCAAGAGAUCUUGCGUGAGAUCCAUGAAGGGGAUUGUGGCCAUCAUGCCGGCUCAAAGUCCCUUGUGGCCAAGGCUUUCUGUCAUGGUUUUUAUUGGCUGACGGCUCAUGCUGAUGCAGAGGACUUGGUCAGCAAAUGUGAUGGUUGCCAGAGGUUUUCACGACAGGCUCACGUGCCGGCUCAGGAGCUGAGGAUGAUCCCAAUCACUUGGCCCUUUGCGGUCUGGGGGCUUGAUAUGGUUGGGCCUUUUAAAAGGUCCAAGGAUAAGAAGACCCACCUCUUGGUGGCAGUGGACAAAUUCAUAAAGUGGGUGGAAGCUGAGCCAGUUAGCAAGUGCGAUGCAGCCACGGCGGUUCAAUUUAUGGAAAAGGUUAUUUUCCGCUUUGGCUUUCCGCACAGCAUCAUAACUGACAAUGGCACCAAUCUCUCCAAAGGCGCCAUGGAAGAGUUUUGUCAACGAGAGCAUAUCCGACUUGAUGUUUCCUCAGUGGCUCAUCCUCAAUCCAAUGGUCAAGCUGAGAGAGCUAACCAGGAGAUUCUGAAGGGCAUCAAGCCCCGGCUUUUGGUCCCUUGGCAACGGACGCCGGGUUGUUGGGUGGAGGAGUUGCCCUCCGUCUUAUGGAGCAUCAACACUACUCCUAACAGGUCUACAGGCUUCACGCCUUUCUUCAUGGUUUAUGGAGCAGAAGCAGUCCUCCCCAGUGACAUCCGUCACGACUCACCUCCCGUAGCGGCUUAUGUUGAGACGGAUAAUGAACAGGCGCGCCAAGAUGCUCUUGACUUGUUGGACGAACAGCGUGAUGUGGCAGCAGCCCGUUCAGCAAUUUACAAACAAGACCUGCGUCGUUAUCAUAGCGGCCGGGUCAAAUCCCGGGUCUUCCAGGAAGGCGACCUUGUGCUCCGGCUCAUCCAGGAUCAAACAGAUGCACACAAGUUAUCCCCGCCUUGAGAAGGGCCCUUUGUGGUCAGCAAGAACUUGCACAACGGGUCAUAUUACCUCAUUGACAUUCGAGAGCACAAAGAUUCACGUAAAUCGGAGGAGGAGACCCGUCGGCCGUGGAACAUAGCUCAGCUUCGGCCUUACUACACUUGAUCCACCGGCUCUCGUGGUGUACAUACUUCUCUCAGCCAUGUAUAUAUUAUGAUAAGCAAUAAAGCAGGACCUCUGUCCUUUUUUCUCCUCCAAAUAUACACGUGUUGUUCUUAUUGCAAGAUUACAUGAUGAUUUCAAGGAGGAUCCGGCUUAUGAUCGUAUUCGAAUUUAGCCGUAAGCAGUAAAGUCACUUGGGGGCUUCCUGUUCAAACAUGGGUCUUAUUCGAACCAAAGAGAACAUAGCUGUCGAUACCCAUUUGAUUGGCAAAGUGUCGAGCUCAUUGGGAAGUUACCUUUGGUCAUAUUUGAAUCAUAGUUUAACCCCUCUGAGAACCGACGUGGAUCGUAUUCGAAUCAGCGUCGUUAAACAAUUCUUGAAAUCACUUGGGGGCUUCCUGUUCAAACAUGGGUCGUAUUCGAACCAAAGAGAACAUAGCUGUCGGUACCCUCUUGAUUGGCAUCGCCACACCCACUGGGGGCUAUGUGAUCGUAUCCGAAUCUUAGCUUAACCCCUUUGGGCCGGGUAUCUGGUCGUAUUCGAACCGGAAGCUCCUAAGUUCUUAUGUUUUAUCACAAGUUUACUCUGAUUAUGUCAAGGUGUGUACGGCCGGGUCUCACUUUGCCGGCUUAACUUUGGUUUACCAUGUUAGUUGACCGCCAUGGGUGUCAUUACGACAGGUAAAUCGGAGUUAAGAUACCAACCUUGUUCCCGGGUUAUUUAAACCGGAAGUAUGUUUACAGGCCGCUAAGUGUGUUAUUACGGCUGUGUUAAGGAGAUAAUUGAGGACCAGUCUCUUUUGAUUCAUAUUCCGGGUUAUCUAUCCAAAACACCUGAUUCUCAGGGCGGUAAGCCGCCUUGAGACUUGUGAUUUGCCUUUCUAUGCAGGAUACUUAAAGGUACCUCUUUGAGGUUGAGAAAAACAAAGGGAUGAUUAUGACCCGGAGAAACAUUAAAGAGACAACUUCAAAAGACCUUGGCAUUCAAUACGUGCACGAUGGCACGGCAGAGAUAGACUGUUGCACCUACUUUAUUACAACACUCAUCAAAUCUAACAAGGGUGGAGCAUUGUUUGGUAAACCGACAACCGAGUUACGAUGCCCGCUGAGUGGAAGUCUCCGGCUCGUUCCUGUCCUCUCCUCCAGCUGAUCCCAAGACUUGGAAGGUUGAUGACUUCCAGUCGAUGCCGCUGAGAGCCUUGAACUGGGCUUCCUCGUCAAUUAACCCGGCCGGGUCAAUCUCCGGGGCGAAGGUGUGCUGACGAGCCGGCGGGAUCAGGUUGAGGGCUUCAUAGCGAGGGGUUGGAAUCCUCUGAUUCUCCGCGUCAUAACCCGGCUGGUACUUGGUCAGAUCUGUGUCAUUCCCGAUGAGGGUGCCACCGGGCGUACAGCCUUCACGCACGCCGCGAAGUCCUUCUGAUCGAAAGCUGAGCCGUCUUCCUUCAGGCUUGGAUAACCCAGGGCGAUGUCUGCCGGGUCUAGCUCCGGCAGGAAUGCCUUGGCCCGGCUCAGCGCGGCGAUUGCUCCGGCUCUCGCGGAGGCCCGUCGCAGCUCUUGGAUCCGUUGAGGCAGAACGGCGAGCCGGCGCAGGACUUAGGCCAGAUGAGUUGGCACCUCGUUGGAUAGGGCCACCACAGCUAAGGCACGUUGUGACCCGGUGUAGAGCUGUUCCACCAGGGUAUACACGGCCUUUAGCUUGGUGACCACACUCUGGUUGAGGUUGGCACUUCUGGGGCCUGUUUAACAGAAUCAGAUAAGCCGGCGGCAAGGAUGAAUACUGAGAUAUAAACAUUCUGACAUUGAUGAAAGUCGGUGAGGCGACUUACCGAAGAUGGCGACCACCAUUUGGGAAACCUGGCGCUUUAGGCCGGAGAGCUCGGCGGUCUUCUCAGAGAGAGCCUUCUCCGCCUGUUCCGCCCGGGUCACCAGUGUGGCCUUCUCUUCGGCCCAGGCUUUUCUCUCAGCAUCAAAGUCGGUCUUCAACUUUUCUUGAGUGGCGAUGCUGGAUACAAACUUGAGCGGCCUUCAAUUUUUGCUCACAGCUUGUAUAAAUUUACGGGUUAUUAACAGUUAUUAUAUAAGUCCCAAGUGUUUUCCAGGCAAAGACACUUGGCAGUUGGGGGCUAAUGCAUAUUGAAUGUAUCUAUCUACAUACUGCCGGCUCAAUUGAGUAAGCCGGAACCUAAGUCUACAACAUAUUCAAUCAUAAGUCGUCGACUUGGGGGCUAGCAUGGCAAAGGUAACUAUGCAGUAAGUAAGAAGACAGCAGAAGGAUACCUCAGAUUUUUGUUGGAUCUGGUUUACCAUGGCGACCUCUGCAUCCCGGCUCUUGUGCACCUGGCUGAUGUAGCCAGAGACAAGCUCUCCAAUGCUCAAGUUGGUGUAGUCGGAGAGGCCCAGGUUCACCCGGUGGGGCUGCAGCAACUCCCCCUUCGCGGAGCAUUUGGCAGCACGGUCGGUCUCCCCGGCUCAACGAACUCUGUCCGGGUGAUUACCACGUCCGGGUCGUCUGCUAGCGGAGCUGAGCCGGAGGCCUCCGGGUUAACCGAAGCUUCGGUCGUUGCCUUGGUAGUUGGGGCAGUGGCUUCAGGUGCCGUGUCCAUUGGAGUGGUGGCUUCGGGGGCAGAGGCAGCUGGCGGCUCUUGAGCCGUCACCUCCGGUUCAGGUAAGUCCGGCACUCCGGCUGACCUGGUCUUCUUCGCUCUUUUGGUGAGCUUUGCCUGGGCGCUGAAAGGACAGAAACAUUGAGCACAAAGAGAGUAUGUACAGACAAGUAUAAUGUGAGAUGGUUGUCAUUACCCGGGCGCGGUCUUGAAAGUCGGAAGACUCGACUGCAUAGAGUCUCCCGAAGAAGGGGAGGUCUCCUGAUAAUUGGAGUCAGAAGAAUUGAGUGGCUGACGGAUAACACCCGCCAACGGAUGAAAAGGGUACAAGUGAGAAAAAACCUCAGUUCGACGCUUCCUUGUUGCGUCGGGUAACCCGGCGGAAAGAUCGGUGUCCUUGUUGGUCCGGGUGUGACGCCGGCUUUCAUGAACCUGUCGCUUCAAAAUAAAUUGAGGGUCUUGGUGAGCUAAAGGAUGUGAAAAGCUUACUUUCCGGGUUACCCUUCGGACUUUCAGCUGUGGCAAGGGCUCUGAGUCGGAGGAAAGUGACAUUACCUCUUCAACCACCGGGUUACUUGCGCCGGUGUCAUCCUGUCAAUGAGCAAGUAUUGAUAAGGCGGACAACAACAAACAGUGAAUAUAGUAAGGAUUUAAAUACUCAGGAGUUACCUCUGACUCGGAGCUGUCGCUUAAUUGCAUCAGCUCCGAAGCAGUAGGCCUGCUUCCUUUUUUGCGAGGGGCGGCUUUCUUGGCGGCUUUCUUCGCCUUCCUGGCUUUCUUGGCCGCCUCAUGGUCAUAUUUGACCCGCCAGAACUUAUCAUCAGCCUGGAAAAUACAAUGAUGGAUUCUUAAAACGGUUCAGAUGAAGGUUAUAUGCAGACGAAGAUAAAAGUUAAAGUCAGCGGCUUACCGCUGGGGCUGGAUUGGUCUUGCAGAACGGGGCUAACCCGGUCCUUCCGCAGUCUGCCAGGCUCUCGUUUAAAAGAGCCUUGGUCUCCUCCUCUGCAACGUCUUCUGGAAGAUCAUUGCGACUGUGCCUCUGAGGGUCAUCCUUUCGCCCGGUGUAUUCACACAUUAAGCCGGGGCGGCAGCUCAAUGGGAUCACCCGCCAUGAGAUCCAGACCCGGACCAGGUCGAUUCCGUUCAAACCGUUGCCCAGGAGGGCCUUGAUUUUAUUGAUAGUAGGAAGAAGAGGCUGGCGCUCCGCUGGAGUCAGCUUGUCCGACAGUGGGUGAGUCGGCUCUAGACGUGUUGGGCGAAAGCCGGGCAGCGGGCUUUCGUCAGCCGGGGACGUAUCUUGGCAGUAGAACCAAGUCAUGUUCCAGUCCUUGGGGUGGCUCGGUGGCUCUGCAUAAGGGAACAGACAGUCCCUACGCCGCUGGAUGGAAAUGCCACGUAGCUCCAGACUUGGCCCGUUGGCGCACUCAUUCUGGCGGUUUAAGUAAAAAAGCUCUCUGAAGAGCAGCAGACUAGGUUCUUCUCCUAGGUAAACCUCGCAGAAGACUUGAAAAUUGCAGAUGUUGGAUACGGAGUUGGGUCCUAUAUCUUGAGGCUCCAAGUCGAAGAAGUUGAGCACGUCCCUGAAAAACUUUGAGCCGGGCGGUGCAAAGCCCCGGCUCAUAUGAUCUGCGAAAAUCACUACCUCCCCAUCCUUUGGCUGUGGUCUCUCUUCUGACGGGUCAGGGGCACGGUAGGACAUGAUUUCCUUCUUAGGCAAAUAUCCGGACUUAACAAAAUUGGCUAGGGUCUCGUUGGUGACGUUGGACCUCAUCCAGUUGCAAGUGAUGGGAGCCUUGGGAGGCAUGGUGAAAGUUGGUGGUCUAUGACAAAAAGGAAAAAUGUCCGGGUUAAUUAUAAGCCGGAGAUCUACAGUUCAAAACUACGGUGGCGGCUUAUGAAGGGGACUAAUGGUAUAUACUCAAAUACAUUGGGUUAUUCAAGCCGGAGGAUUCUACGACGCAUGGUUUCCUUUAAGCCGGAAGAUUCUACGUCGCGUGGUUUCUUUAAACCGGAAUUGUAAGCGGCCAAGAUUCAAUGGUUGCAGUUUUUACUAAGUGUGGUAAAACAGGUUUCACAUAUUGCAGUAACUUUUUUGGAUCAAAAUGGUCGGGCAAAAGAAAAAAUUUCUAGACCUAGAAACAGUAGUGAGGGAGUUCCUGGGUUCAAACAGAGUUCUUAUGCAGUUCAAGGAAGGCUACUUGCGUGUGAAAUGGAUCUUAAACAACCACCGCACUAGUUCUAUGCAGAACUAACAUCAAGCAGGAGCAGUAACUAGGAGAACUACCGAACUUGCGGGCAAUGGUGACGAACACGAAGAACGUGGAUGAACUCUACUGCAGAUCUACUCUACGGGGUGGUGAGAACUUUCCGAAGCUGAAGAGGUGCGGGAGUCGCCGCCGUUUAUCUGGUUCGAGUCAAGGUGAUGCAGCGGCCGAGGUUGACGAAGACCGGAGGCGAGACGACGGCGGCGGAGUGCGAACUCAGUGAGAAAGGCAGCGGCGCGAGGAGGAAGAAGGGAGCGUGAGAAGAGCCCGUCGGGCCGGCCUAUUUAUAAGGCAAGGUCAUAAGUGGGCGCGAGAUUCAAGGAGACCACGGCAUGGUUAUCUCCCCCCACGACGCCUCGAUUUUCGGAAUGAUAGUAAAAGCAAAGAUCCGUUGCGGACCUGGCGGAGUAAAAAAUGGACUUAAUGGAGGAUGACAUCACGGCGGAUUAUCCGGAGUCCAGAGGAUGACGUCACUCCGGGUUAUGGCCUUCACAUGAAUGGUAAGCCGGAGAUUUUUUCUGUCAGAAGAGUUGAAGAUUGACAUGAGCCGGCUCAAAUCAAUCUGGGGCCUAAUGUUGAGGAUAUAGACCUUAGAGUCACUCGUCAGGAGGGGCCGGGUUACUCGUAUGGUCGUUGCCAGAAGCCCGGAGCCAAGCUUGAAGAUGAUGGGUCAGAGAUGGGCUAAGACCCGGAUACGGCUUAAGGCCCAUAGUUAUAAUCAUUAUUAUGGUAGAACUUGUAGUGUAAGGCAAGUAUGAUUGAGAGUCCGAGCCGGAAACUCUUAUGAGCCGGCCGGGACUCUAAGGGCUGCUGGGCGUCAGCCUCCCUAUAUAAGGGGACGACCCGGCAGCGGUUUAGGGACAAGAACAAUCUCAUCGAGAGCCGGGCAUAGCAGUUUAGCUCCCUGGUGAUCGUAACCCUAAUCCAUACCACCUCAAACUGGACGUAGGCUUUUACCUUCACCGUAAGGGGCCGAACCAGUAUAAACCCUCGUAUUCCUUGUCCCGCAUUAACCCCUUCAAGCUUCCUAGUUGCAAUGGCUUCACGACUAAGUCCUAGCUCGAGGACAUCUGCCGUGACAAUUCCACGACAGUUAGGAUAUUUUUCUCGGAGGUCAUCUUCUUUUUCCCAAGUCGCUUCUCGCACCGGAUGAUUUCCCCAUUGCACCUUGCAAUAUUUAGGUGUUUUACUCCUAAGUUUCUUUUCCUCGGUGUCCAGAAUACGACUAGGAUGCUCCUCAUACGUUAGGUCCUUUCGGAGGGUUAAUUCUUCCUCCGAGACUCUCUCAAAUGGUGGCUUUACGCUCUUGCGUAAUUGGGAAACAUGAAAUACGUCAUGAACCCCUUGUAGGUGCGUUGGCAAUUCUAAUUUGUACGCCACCGUCCCUCUUCUUUUUAAGAUCCGAUAGGGACCAAUAUAUCGCGGGCUUAGUUUUCCUUGUACUCCAAAGCGCUUGACACCUUUAAUUGGUGAGACUUUUAAAUAAACAAAGUCUCCGGGUUGAUAUUGUAUAUCACGUCGUCUCUUGUCCGCAUAACCUUUUUGCCGGCUUUGCGCCGUCUUGGGCCGCUCUCCAAUUAUGCGAACUUUUUCCUCGGUCUCUUGGACCAAGUCGGGUGCUAAGAGUUUCUUUUCUCCGGUUUCCAUCCAACAUAUUGGGGUUCGACAUCUUCGACCGUAUAAGGCCUCAAAUGGGGACAUACCAAUACUAGCUUGGUAGCUAUUGUUAUAAGCGAAGUCUGCUAAGGGCAAGUGCUUGCUCCACGAGUCACCAAAAUCUAGCACACAAGCCCUUAGCAUGUCCUCUAUGAUUUGAUUCACCCUCUCGACUUGACCGCUAGUCUGGGGGUGGUAAGCGAUACUAAAAUCCAAUUUUGUUCCUAAUGCUUCUUGUAAUUUUUCCCAGAACUUGGAUGUAAACAUGGAUCCACGAUCUGACACUAUUCUAGAAGGUGUCCCAUGUAGAGCUACUAUCCUGUGGAUAUAUAGCUUAGCCAAUUUUUCUCUGGAACAACCCGGGGCUAAAGGGAUAAAAUGGGCAGAUUUAGUGAGUCGGUCAACUAUGACCCAUAUGAUCUCCUCUUGUUUUCUUGUUUUGGGCAGUCCGGUGAUAAAGUCCAUGUGGAUUCCUCCCAUUUCCAUUGCGGAAUUUGGAGAGGUUGCAACAAUCCUGGUGGUCGCUGGUGUUCUUCCUUUACUCUCUUACAAGUGUCACACUCAUCCACAUACUGAGCAAUUUCUCUUUUCAUAUUUCUCCACCAAAAUGUACCUUUGACAUCCCGGUACAUUUUUGUGCUACCAGGGUGUAUGGUGUAUGGUGUGUUGUGUGCCUCCUGGAGUAUUAUUUGCUUAAUAUCAAGGAUAUUUGGCACACAUAACCAAAGUGACGCGUCUUCUGCUAUUCGGAACUCUGAUGGUUGACCUUCUUGUAUUCUGCAUUUUUCCUCACAAAUGAACUCAUCUUUGGUUUGGUUUUCCUUGAUUUCGUCCAACAAAUUGGGUCUGAUUGUUAAUGUGGUUAGGAUUUUCUCAACCGGUUUAUGUAUGAAUUCAAUUCCCAUCAUUCCCAGCUCAUGUAUCAGAUGCUUAUCAUAGGUUCGGAUCUUGACAUGAUUGCAUGAGGUUUUUCGGCUAAGGGCAUCUGCCACCACAUUAGCUUUUCCUGGGUGGUAGUUGACACUAAGGUCAUAAUCCUUAGUGAGUUCUAACCAUCGUCUUUGUCUCAUAUUCAACUACUUUUGCGUGAAGAUAUACUUGAGGCUUUUAUGGUCCGUGUAUAGUUCACAACGGUUUCCAUAAAGGUAGUGCCUCCACAUCUUUAGCGCAAAUACCACGGCAGCUAACUCGAGGUCAUGGGUGGGGUAGCUUUGUUCAUGGGGCUUUAACUGUCGAGAGGCAUAGGCUAUGGCUCUCCCAUCUUGCAUUAGCACACAUCCCAAACCAACUCUAGAGGCAUCGCAAUAUACUGUGAAUGCUUUGCCUGGUUCGGGUAGAGCCAAUACAGGAGCGGUUGUGAGCCGUUUCUUUAACUCUUGAAAACUUUGCUCACACUUGUCAUUCCAAUCAAAUGGAACUCCCUUCCUUAGUAAUUUGUUCAUAGGGGCUGCUUUCUGGGAGAAGCCUUCUAUGAACCUUCGAUAAUAUCCAGCUAAACCAAGGAAGCUACGAAUCUCUGUUACGUUGGUUGGGGAUUUCCAUGCCAACACUGCAUCCACUUUAGCAGGAUCUACGGCUAUCCCUUUCCCUGAUAUAAUGUGUCCUAAGAAGGACACUUCUUCUAGCCAAAAUUCACACUUUUUGAAUUUGGCAUAGAGUUGUUUUUCUCUCAAGGUCUGUAGCACUAUCCGGAGGUGUUCAGCAUGUUCCUCAAUACUUCGAGAGUAUAUGAGGAUGUCAUCGAUGAACACUACCACAAACUUAUCUAAAUAGGGCAUGAGGACUAGGUUCAUCAGGUUCAUGAAAACUGCUGGUGCAUUGUGAGUCCGAAGGGAACAACCAAGAAUUCAUGGUGACCAUAUCGGGUUAUGAAAGCAGUCUUAGGUAUAUCUUCUUCCUUUACUUUUAGUUGGUGGUACCCUGACCGGAGAUCUAUUUUUGAGAACACGGUGGCUCCUUUCAAUUGGUCAAAUAGAUCAUCUAUCUGGGGUAGUGGGUACUUAUUCUUAAUUGUCGCCUCAUUCAAGGCUCGAUAAUCCACACAUAGCCUCAUACUUCCGUCCUUUUUCUUAACGAAUAAGACUGGUGCUGCCCAAGGUGACACACUUGGUCGAAUAAACCCCUUUUCUUCUAGUUCAUCCAAUUGUUUUCUUAAUUCCUUUAGUUCUUCCGCGGACAUACGGUAUGCUCGUUUUGAUAUGGGUGCCGUACCUGGGAUGAUAUCAAUAGUGAACUCUAUCUCCCUGUCUGGUGGCAUCCCGGGCAAUUCUUCCGGAAACACGUCCAAAAAUUCUUGUACCAUAGGCACAUAUUUAGCCUCCUUUUUGUCCAAAGUGGCUACUGAGGCUUGGUUUGAUUUCGCUCGGGUUCUUCUACUAUUAAAGGUUAUCCGUUUAUUUUCUGGGCUUCUCAAGGAUAUGGAUUUUUCUGCACAAUCCAUUCUUGCUCCAUGACUCGCUAACCAGUCCAUUCCAAGAAUAACAUCUAACCCUCUUAGGCCAAUGACAAAUAGGCUAGCAUUAAAGGUUAUGCCCUCAAUGCAAAUGGGACAGUUGUGGCAGACAUGCUCAACAAUUAUUGGGCCUCCCGGUGAAUCUACUUUUAUGGGUUUGGCUAGGGGGGUCCGGUCCAGAUUAUGCGUCUCAACAAAGCGUUGCGAUAUGAAAGAAUGUGUUGCUCCUGGGUCAAACAAUACUAGUCCUACUCCGGGAGGGAUUAGUAGGUUACCCGUCACUAUGUCUGAAGCCGACUCCACUUGUGCCACAUCCAUAUGUGCCAGACGGAAUGGUCCACGUGCAAGACUGCCACGACCACGCCCGCGGUUGGCAGUGGACGCACUCCCGUGUACUUGUGCUGAAUUAGCCUCGCGCUUAUUUUGAGGUGGGACAGCUCCAUUUGUGCUAGAUUGUGGUUGACCCUUGCUUGGGCACUGACUUUUGUAGUGUCCCUUUUGUCCACAACCAAAACAGACAACACUCGCCUUUGGGCAAUCUCGAGCCAAGUGUGGUCCACUGCACACGUGACAUUUGAUCGGGGCUCUCGGAGGCAUAAAAGGUGGUCUAGGAGCUUGACGGAAAGGAGGACGGACAGGCCCGACCAUUGGCACGCGGACUAGGCCAACAGGACGAUUCCCACUUCUCAUGGCAAACCUCGGGUCCAUACUAGCUUUCUUCCUUCGCUCUUCCUCUACGGCGAUUUGCCGGUUCUCGAUUGUAAUGACUCGGUCUACUAGCUCCCGAAACUCGGUGAUUUUUAUAGGAGCUAUAAUAAGUUGUAUGGACGGGUUCAAUCCUUCUACGAACCGGUACACCUUUUUGGUCUCAGUGUUUGUGUCCUCUGGUGCAUAGCGGGAUAGUGAGUUAAACUCAUCUAGGUACUCUGCGAUGGUCUUAGACCCUUGCUUGAGGUUCAGGAAUUCCUUCCUCUUUAUUUCCAUCGCACUUUGCGGGACGUAGUUAUCUCGAAAUCUCCUCUUAAAUUCGUCCCAUGUAACUAUGUGGUUUUCGGGUAUGAUAAUUUGGACAUUUCUCCACCAUGUGGCAGCAGGACCAAUUAACUGAUGUGAUGCAUACCGAACUUUUUCUUGGUCUGUGCGUCCCAUAGUGUUAAGUUUUAGCUCUAUGUCCAUCAACCAAUCAUCUGCGGCUAAUGGGUCUGUGGCGGUUGAAAAGGUUUGUGGUCUAGUCUUUUGGAAGUCUCCAAUUGUGACACCUUGUUCUGGGUUUUUAGUUAGUUGGCCUCUCAUCAUACCGAACAUCUGCUCCGUGAACUUAUUCUGGUGUUCUAGAGAGUCUUGACGAGACUGCUCCAUCCACUGAUACAUUAGAGCAAGUUGAUCGGAUCCCGGGCCAUGAUGGGCUAAUGGUGGAGGUGGAGGUAACGUCACUCUAGACGGCAAAUCUGCCAUGUUCCUUAGCGACUCGGGUGCUAAAUCCGAUGUGUUCCCGUUGUCUUCGAACGACUGACUACCAGAUGCCAUCGCUAUCGAUCUGGUGGGCAAGGCAUAGGUUAUAACGAUAGCUACUAUUUGUGAAAAAUAUUUUAUUUAUUUGAUUAGAGGUGAGAUUUUAGCUCAAACAGUACACUUCACGCUUCCUGUUUUGGAACAUCAAUUUAAACAGUGCACUUAACAGCGGCAUACUAGAAAAUUUUGCGAAACAUUUUUUUUGACUUGUUGUUGGCCGAAGAAAAAAAGUAGUCAAACAAAGUGAUUUUUUUAUCACGACAGAGGCAAGAGAUUAAUCACAAGUCAAAAAUAGAGCCACUUGCACAUGCACGUGCACACACAAGUUCUUCACGUACUGCAUUAAAAGCAUGCAAUCAUCAAGUGUCUGACAUACAUCAGUUGAACUCAUGAAGUGCUAGGAAAAUAGGUAGCAGCGUCAGCACAUAAUAUAUAUACUAGCCCAACACGUGAUGUACCAAAGGUAUGUACUUGAAUGAAGAGAUCACCAAAAAAAAAUUUCUUCCAUACAUUAGACGCCAUAAUGAGGCAUUCACUACAGGAAUCAGCUAUUUUGCCGUCUGCCACGGCGGACGGCAAAGGCAUGAACGGCGGACGGCAAAGACCUUUGCCGUCAGCCGCGGACGGCAAAAGGCUCCGGCAAAGUAGGCUACGGUAAACAGCUACUUUGUCGUCUGCUUCCUGGCGGCUGACGGCAAAGGCCCUUUGCCGUCUGCGGCGGACGGCAAAGAGAGGGGACGGCAAUAAUUGCGCUGUCAGUCCGUUAAGUGGCUAACGGCAGGCCUUUGCCGUCCGCCGCUGACUGCAAACUAUCUAGUGUCUUUGCCGUCUGCCGUAUGAUGUCAUCUACACGUCACUACAUGGCAGACCUUUGUCGUCCGCCACUGACGGCAAAGAGCCUCAAGCCUUUGCCGUCUGCCACUGUAGGCAAACUGACCAAAUGGGUCAGCUCCCAGGAAGCACAGCUGGAUGCCACGUGCCUUCUUUGCCGUCCGCAGCAGAUGGCAAAGAGCCCGUUGCCGUCGGUGGCAGACGGUAAAGAGCCUGCAUAAUGGCUCUUUUUCUGUUUUUUAUUAAAUCCAACAAUUUUCACAGCAAAUAUAUAUGACAUGUAUAGAUAUAUUUCAUAGGCAUUCAUAUCACAAAAUUCCAUCCAUAAACAAAGUUCCUUCAUACAUAAACAAAGUUCCAUCCAUAAACAAAGUUCCUUCAUACAUAAAUAAAGUUCCAUUCAUAUCACAAAGAGCCUUCAUACAUAAACAAAGUUUCAUCCAUACAUAAACAGGAAGACUAGAACAAGAAGAGUAGCUUCCAUGAAGUGAAUGAAAUCUGCAAAAUGGCAAAAUAAGAAAGUUAGAAAUAGGUGACUAGAACAAGAAGAGUAGAACAAGAAGAAGACUAGAACAAGAAGAGUAGAACAAGAAGAAGACUAGAACAAGAAGAGUAUGUCAUUUAUGAGCUAACUUACGUGAAAUGGAUCAUAUAUGAGCUAACUAAGUUGAAAUGGGUCGUUUAUGAGCUAGCUAAGGUGAAAUGGAUCAUUUAUGAGCUAACUUAGUUGAAAUGGGUCGUUUAUGAGCUAACUAAGGUCAAAUGGAUCGUUUUUUAGGUAACUAAGGUGAAAUGGAUCGUUUUUUAGCUAACUUAGGUGAAAUGGAUCAUUUAUGAGCUAACUUAGUUGAAAUGGAUCGUUUUUGAGCUAACUUAGGUGAAAUGGAUCAUUUAUGAGCUAAUUUAGUUGAAAUGGAUCUUUUUGAGCUAACUUAGGUGAAAUGGAUCAUUUAAGAGCUAAUUUAGGUGAAAUGGAUCGUUUUUUAGCUAACUUGGUGAAAUGGAUCGUUUAUGAGCUAAAUUAGUUGAAAUGGAUCGUUUAUGAGAUAACCUAGGUAAGAUGGGUCAUUUUGGAGUUAACCUAGGUGAAAUGGGUCAUUUUAAAGCUAACGUAGGUAAAAAUGGAUCAUUUAGGAGCUAAUCUAGGUAAAAUGGGUCAUUUUUGAGCUAACUUGGAUGAACUGGAUCAUUUAUAAGCUAACCUAGGUAAAAUGGGUCAUUUUAGAGCUAACUUAGGUAAAAUGGAUCGUCUAUGAGCUAACUAAGCUAAUUAUGCAAUUUUUUACAUAAGUAAGCUAAGUACAGAUCGUUUUAGAGCUAACUUAGAUAAAAUGGAUGGUUUUGGAGAUCAGUAAGCUUAUUAAGUCAUUUUGGAGGAGAAGAAGCUAAGUCUAGGUCAUUAUGGUAAGCAUUGGAGGAAAUAAAGCUAAGUCUAGGUCUUUAUGCAUGUGUUAAGCAAAACACUAGAUAAACUUACCAAGAGCCAGGAGGUGUAGGAGCGGGGUGGCUCGUGUCGGUAGCUGGAGAAGGAUCGCGCGAUGCUUGUCUGGAGUUACGCUGCACCAAAGAUCAUUUCCAAUGUCUUGUUAGCAUGAUGACACUCAAAUGUUAAGACUAGCAAGUAAUGUCCAUUCAAAUAAAACUCACCGUGGUCCCAGGAGCAAUCACUGGCAUUGGCGGAGCGGUCUGACCUGUCUUCUCGCACACAGACUGCACAUUUGGUUUUGACGACUCAGUCAUACUCGGGCUGACGAAUAACAGGGGAGGCACUGACGAAAUUUAUGCGUCGGAUCCGGAGCAAAGCAUAUGGGAAAAGGAACCCAAUCUAAACAUACUCGGGCUGUCCAUGGAUAGCGUUGGACAAUUCGAAAGAAUCAAGGUUAUAAAUAUGCAAAUGCAUGCAUAUUUAUAACUAUGACGCUUUCGAACGGGAGACACAUAUUGGUUACGCAUACUGAUGAUUCAAGACACAUAUAUAGCUAGCUAUCAAGUUUCAUCGGAAUAGAUCAAAUAUAAUGGGGGAGGAGGACAUGUCAUUUGUGCUCACCCACGAACGAAGGGGCAGAGCUUGUCAAACGCACAGCGAGGUCGUCGAACACCAAACCUCGCAGCGAUGAAACAACUGCACAUUAAAAACUACCCGAUCAACACAAUUAUAUAUGAUGUUUUUAUAACAAAAUCGAAAAAUAUAUGACCUAACUAAUAAUUCACAAAUAUAUGACCCGUCGGCCUCUGGAAGGCCAAAGAACACCUUUUCGGGAGGUGUCGGGAGUCGGGGUGUCGUGUCGGUGUCGGGGUGCCGUGUCGGGGUCGGGGUCNNNNNNNNNNNNNNNNNNNNNNNNNNNNNNNNNNNNNNNNNNNNNNNNNNNNNNNNNNNNNNNNNNNNNNNNNNNNNNNNNNNNNNNNNNNNNNNNNNNNNNNNNNNNNNNNNNNNNNNNNNNNNNNNNNNNNNNNNNNNNNNNNNNNNNNNNNNNNNNNNNNNNNNNNNNNNNNNNNNNNNNNNNNNNNNNNNNNNNNNNNNNNNNNNNNNNNNNNNNNNNNNNNNNNNNNNNNNNNNNNNNNNNNNNNNNNNNNNNNNNNNNNNNNNNNNNNNNNNNNNNNNNNNNNNNNNNNNNNNNNNNNNNNNNNUUCUUCUUCUUCUUCUUCUUUCUCCUCCUCCUCCUCCUCCUCUUCUUCUUCUUCUUCUCCUUCUUCUUCUUCUUCUUCUUCUUCUUCUUCUUCUUCUUCUUCUUCUCCUUUUUCCUCUUCUUCUUCUUUUCUUCUUUCUUCUUCUCCCUCCUCCUGUUCCUCCCUCCUCCUUCUACUUCUUCUAAACUAAAACUAAAACUAAUCUAAAAUAAACUAAACUAAAAUAAACUAAAAGUAAAAGUAAUCUAAAAUAAACUAAACUAAAACUAAAACUAAUCUAAAAUAAACUAAACUAAAACUAAAACUACACUAAAACUAUAACUAAAACAGAAACUAAACUAAAAGAAACAAAAAGAAACUAAUUAAACAAAAAAAGGGGGAGGAGCUCACCUGGUGGAGGGGGAGGCCGGACGGCUGCGGCGGCCGCUGGAGGAGGUGGCGACCCGGUGGAGGGGGAGGCCGGACGGCCGCGGCGCGGCUGCCCGACGUGGAAGAGGNNNNNNNNNNNNNNNNNNNNNNNNNNNNNNNNNNNNNNNNNNNNNNNNNNNNNNNNNNNNNNNNNNNNNNNNNNNNNNNNNNNNNNNNNNNNNNNNNNNNNNNNNNNNNNNNNNNNNNNNNNNNNNNNNNNNNNNNNNNNNNNNNNNNNNNNNNNNNNNNNNNNNNNNNNNNNNNNNNNNNNNNNNNNNNNNNNNNNNNNNNNNNNNNNNNNNNNNNNNNNNNNNNNNNNNNNNNNNNNNNNNNNNNNNNNNNNNNNNNNNNNNNNNNNNNNNNNNNNNNNNNNNNNNNNNNNNNNNNNNNNNNNNNNNNNNNNNNNNNNNNNNNNNNNNNNNNNNNNNNNNNNNNNNNNNNNNNNNNNNNNNNNNNNNNNNNNNNNNNNNNNNNNNNNNNNNNNNNNNNNNNNNNNNNNNNNNNNNNNNNNNNNNNNNNNNNNNNNNNNNNNNNNNNNNNNNNNNNNNNNNNNNNNNNNNNNNNNNNNNNNNNNNNNNNNNNNNNNNNNNNNNNNNNNNNNNNNNNNNNNNNNNNNNNNNNNNNNGUGGAGGUCGGGGGUCGCAGGGGAGGGGUGUGGGGCGGCGGGGUAGCCGGCUACGGGGUCGGCGGCGGCGGCGCGGGUGUGGGUGGGGACGAAUGAGAGAGUGGGGAGAAGAGACGGGGCGGGACGGCCGUUAACGUACCUGCCUCUUUGCCGUCAGCCAACGGUCGGCAAAGUUUCUUUGCCGUCCGCUUGCGGAUGGCAAAGAGGUGGGGCCGGUGGGGUUGAGUUGGUUAAACAAUAACUGGACCCACCCACCUCUUUGUCGUCUGCCAGCGGACGGCAAAGAGCACGCAGAUGGCAAAGAGCUUCUUUGCCGUCUGCCAUUUCUUUGCCGUCUGCUUUUGGGUAGCUGAUGGCAAAGAGCUUCUUUGCCGUCAGCUAGCAGACGGCAAAAAGCUGGCAGAUGGCAAAUUAGCUGAUUCCAAUAGUGAUUGGCAACAAUGUGGCAACAACAUCACAUACAGUAUUCCAUCAUUCAGAGCAAGGAGCAUAAAAAAACCAGAAUUUAAAAUGAAUAUGGAGGCAUGGCAUAUGCAUCAUACGAGAUCAUCUAGUAAUAGCAUAUCAGUACAUCCAUAAGUCCACCAGUCCACAUGGAUACAUCACAUAUCAUAGUAGCAACACCACACAUGACUCUGUGUCGCACAUCAUCAGGCUACCACGGCUAUCUACAUGUGUACCUGGAACAAAAGUAUACCUGCCGACCUAUCUGUCCGUCGGAACUAGUCUGGCUAACUACGGCUGUGCAAACUCUGGAAGGGUAGCUACGGCUACAAGACCUUUCCAGAUAUGUACAAAAUCCAAAAGGACAACCUCCAUGCACCUACCUAAACAUCUCAUAAGUGGGGGAACUAACUCUGGGAGGAGUAGCUAUCUAGCAUGAUGCUACAACCUUGCCAGAAUACUAACUACUACUACUGGUAGCACGUCAAUCCUCCCUGACAACCUGGUGGAGUGUGGGGAGUGUGCUCUGGAGGUGGUGGAAAUACAACGGAACUCAGAGUAGGAGCAACCUGAGAGGAAGGCUCGUCGGCGGCAAGAGACUCCUGGUCAAUCAGGUACCCUACCCGGCCUGGAGAGGCGGAAGGUGAGCUGUCAAUCUGAAGAGGGUUGAGGGCCAUACCCGGACGGGUGUAGUCCCUCAACGCAGUGGACAUCUCGCUGUUCGCCCGCUCAAGCUCGGAACAGCGACUCUGAAGAGUGUCAACCCGAUCUAAUAGGUCCUGAACAAGCUGAUGUGUAGGUGGACGCUCGUACGGUGUGGAGGGACGUGACACUGCACGAGAGGAGGAACCCCUGAUGACUCUAGGAGCUGGGUGGUCUGCACGAGUGGGUGGGACUGUCGGGUACAGAGGUGGACGAGCGGCACUCGAAGCUAGUGGUGGUAAAAACGUGGGAGGCAAGACAGGAGGACGUGGUGGAAGUGGAGGGAAAGCAGAAGUGGAUGCAAAAGGCGAAGGAGCGACAGUGGGCGGAGGUGCAGACGAAGUCCCUGCCUCCUCUAACUGAUGAGGCUACUCGCCUCUGCCCACGUACUCAAGGAGAGGGUGAUAGGCGUGGAAAAGGUGUAAAGCGGCAUCCCAUGCCGCACCCUGAAGUGCUGAAACAAAGUCGUAAUGCAACACUGAACCUAGAAGGGACAUCUAAGCCCUCAGGAAUGUGCACCGUGACUAAGUACCCCAUAGAACACGGGUCGUGAAACACUGUGUAGUAUGGUGCAAUCAACACACCCAGAAGACCAAGAAGCUCAACCAAGAACAGAGCAAAACCACCAUACUCAGCACCCGUACCAAACAACCUACCACUCGUCAUCCUACAUUGAGCAAUUAAGAAUUUAGUUAGUUAUAAUACGAUGCAAAAUUAAUUUACCUAGGACAGUAAAAAUAAAAACAUUUUUCUUGCACAAUUGUGUGGUCUAAAUUAUUUAAUCUUCACUUGACUUGAGUCAUUUUUUUUUAGAAAACUCAUAUUUUAUUUUAGGUAAAGAGGGAACCUAUGUUUCCUAGGGCUCGGACGGUCUCUAACUAAGUACAUGACUCUUUCCUUAACGGGGCUCUGAUACCACCUCUUCUGUGACGCCCCGUUACGUCCGACAGAGUCAGGCGUAACGGAAGCCAUCACUUCAGAGUUGCGCCAGGAUCAGUUAAGCAGAACAGUAUCAUGUACAAGACGGUGCAGCUCCCAUGAGUAGGCAAGCUUUUAUUACAUUGACACCUCAAGUGUCGACUAAGCCUAAGCGACCAUGACGAUAGAUCGUCAUCCACUUCUAGUUACGUGCCUUCUAAACCAACCAUGGAGGGCAUCUACUCUUCAUAGCCUUGAUUGUCGACUUCCUCAUAAACAUACUCCACUUCAGAAUAACCGAAGUCAUUAAGAUGACCAGAUUCAUCAUAAGUACCAUUCUCUAUCACCUCAGAGUUCUCAUAACUCUGUUGUUCUGAAAAACAACAUAAGUGCAGCUGAGUACGUAUAAAAUACGUACUCCCGCAAGUCGCCGGGAAAAGUGGAUGCAAGAGUCUUUAAAGAGGAAUAACUUUACCGGCCACGGCUACAACCACCGAGCCAUUAGCUCAGAAUACUUUGUAGGUAAAAAUAUUUUCCCUUAACCCAUUUUGUUGAAAACCAAAUUUUAUUUAUAAAAUCUACUGGCGACAGAGCGACGUGGGAUCUUACAUCCUGUGUCAGAGGAAAACCCACACGACGCACUUCCAAACCCAGAAGCUGGGAGUGAUAUCACAUUUACUCUGAUCAGAGGUGUACUGCUUUACCCAUAGCAUCACUUGGUCCAAGUCAUCCAUGCGCUACCCGUGCACACGACUAGACCAAGGAACCAGAACCUUUAACCAGCCCGUACACUACCUCUGCUUUUCCACCUUGCCUUACUAAAGGCCCGCGGGUCGAGACCCCUGACCGGCGGUCCCGCCCUAGGGUGACUGUACCUACCCGGCUACAGCCACCUUCUCCCCCAUGCAGAGGCAGCUACUUGGCAUGGGUAGUUGGUUCAGCCCGUCCCAUUCCAGGUCUAUGGUCUGUACGGUUUGCGCCGCUUUUGAAGUAAGCGCCAGUUGGUUGUGUCCUAAUGUGAUACCCUAUGUAGAGGAGCCCGCCAUCCAAGCCGACCCUCCCUGGAUUGCUUUCACCAACAUGAACUCCCCUACCCACGAAAUAUUUAUUUAUAUUGUAACCCUACCCGGGUCACAACUACUUAAUACAGAUGCUUCACCUGAUCUGGUCCAAUUGCCAAAUCAGUGGAUCCACCUGAUCCAAAUUUCAUUUUAUUUAUGAAAAAUAUUUAUUUAAAAUCUUAUGCAAAAUUUUGGAAAUGACCCAUAGCCCGGAAAACAUUUAUCAAGACAUGGUCAAGGAGAUGACGACUUGCCGGAUAGUGCUUCGACCAACUCGGAAUCACCGGGCGUGGCUCCUACGGAUCCGAGAUCGGCUCCUGAUAAUUAUUUCACAACCAUGUUUAUAUUUCCUAAUUUAAAAUCUAAAGAUCCAGCAACACAGCCAUGUUGGGCAAGCCAUAAUUAAUUAACUAGGUUGUGAUACGUCCUAGUGUUUCAUUGAGAGAUAAAAUGCAUCAAACCAUCCAAAUCAGAGUAGCAUGCACGUAUGCCAUCCAGUCUAGAGAGUAAAAAAAUGAUAAGUAAAAAGGAAACAGUAGCCUGCACUACUAGUACUUUACUCGUUGAACCCAGCUCGUUCCUCUCCUCGUCUUCUCUGCUAUCCCAAGAACAGAACCAGCCACCCACCUCUCUCUCUCCCCCCAAGAACAGAGCAUGGCCACCGCCGCCUCGAUCUGCCCCGUCCGGGCAUCUCCGGCGACACGGUGGACACCUACAGAUUCUCCUCGUCUCCCUCUACCAUUUCCCCCUAUUUCUUUUAUCCGCCGCCGCCAAAAACGUCGCCACCACUCAAUCCUGGUGCCGCCUGAUUCAGGUCCGGUGGGCUUGCCUCCGGCUGCAGCGGCAACGAUGUCUCCAUGCCUACAUCCUCCCCUAGCGCAGCCACACGCAUGAGGCGUGCAGCCACGGGCGUCGGGCGUGUGCGGCUUCACCGGCGCUGCUCGGUCGCAUGGCUCUGCUGCUAACGGUGUGGACUAGCCACAUCAUAUUGCUACUACUGGUAAGUACUAAUUCUGAUUCCUUCCCCAUAAGUGUUCCAAAUUUCACAUCGAGUGCCUGCUAGAUGUCAACGUGGGUGUGCAUAUAGUGUUCAUUUUAUCUCAGGCCCUACUAUUGCCCACUCAGCCAUAUUGCCUUCUUUCUCUUUGUUUAUCUCAAGGCCAUGAGAUUAAUCAAGAUUUAAUCUAUGGCGUGGUCAUGGUAUUGCUACUGAUUAGAUCUAAAUGAUGUUCCUAACUAGUGCUACUCAUCCUUGAACACCAUAUAGAAGCAAAUAGUGGCAGUGAAACUCCAAAAUUAAUUACUUGUGAGUAGAUUAUAAACAUCAAUCACUCAAUUUUUGCUACAGAUUGGCAGGGAUUAAUAAUUAGAACAAGGUAGUAUACACAGCAAGAUUGAUCUUUUGGAUACACACAUACAUGUCUUAGCAAGUUACUAGUACUUAGGAUUUGAUUCUUGGCAUGUUAGAUCUAGUACAAGCCAUAGAUGUCAUUCACAGAAACUUUUACAAGCUUUUGCAAUUGAUCUAAUUAGUUUUGAUUAACUUGGAUGUUUACGCAAACAUUUUGUUCUUUUUACAGCAAGAUAAAUAGAUCAAGGUGAAUAGAUGCUCAUGGACUAAUUCAAACCGAGGUGAAGAUAGACAAGAAGUCAAGCAAGAAGGGCUAACACAACAAAUUACUUGAUUAGUACCUGAUGGCGCAUGCGACCCAAAGGGCUUCACCGCAGUGAAGGACAGCAGUGUGGCAGAAGGUGAAAAGGCAAGCGGUGGUGGUACUCCAGUGUAUAUGUGUGUGUGAGGUGGAAUGGACCACAGUGAAAGGAAUGGCUCCUAUUUAUAGUGGGGUUAGUAGCUAUGUCGGUUUGGAGAGGCAUUACAUCUGGCAUGCAUGAGUGGUUAGGCUUGCAUGCAUGCCUCCACUUGUGUCUCUUGUAGGCUGUACUAGGGACAAGUGUAAUUUGCUUGACUGGCCAUUAGUUGGCAUUUACUUUAUGUGGAAAAAAAAUGAGACCAAGAUCUGAUUAUAAAUUUGUAGAAUACAUG